UACGGGGGGGGCAAGCGUUGUUCGGAAUUACUGGGCGUAAAGGGUCUGUAGGUGGCUUGCUAAGUCAGACGUGAAAUCCCUCAGCUUAACUGGGGAACUGCGUCUGAGACUGGCGAGCUUGAGGGCAGGAGAGGAACGCGGGAUUCCAGGUGUAGCGGUGAAAUGCGUAGAUAUCUGGAGGAACACCGGUGGCGAAGGCGGCGUUCUGGACUGCAUCUGACACUGAAAGACGAAAGCCAGGGGAGCAAACGGG
rnacentral:rRNA from 1 species